UUUUUUUGGCAACUGGAUGUAGAUGCAACUUUUUUAGCAUGCUUUCCAUGUUUAUGACAAGUUCAUUCAUCAUAAAUUAGGUGGGCCAACACCGUCUGAAUGUGAAAAACUACAAGCAGAAAUGCAAGAUUUGCAGUUAAAGUAUGAUGAGCUUUCAGCAACUCACCUAGACACUUGCAGGGAGUACAACUUUGCCGGCCGCCUCCUUGGUCCUAGAGGGAACUCUCUCAAGUGAGUGGAGGCAAAUACUGAAUGCCGUGUCUUGAUCAUUCAAGCAUAGGAGUGAACCUAGACCCAUUACGCAAGUGGUCAAAGGAAAUGGUGAAAGGGUGGGAAGCUAAUCUUCUCAUUUGAUGCAACAAAGAAAGCUAGCUUUGGUGUACUCCCACGAUGUGCAAAAGAUGAGCUUCAAAUCAGAUGGUUUGACCUCCCAAAUUGCUUUAUCUUCCAUAAUGGUGAGUUUUUUUUUUUUUUUUCCCUUUAAUAGACCAACAACAAUGUCUCGGGAAACAUUUCAAGCUUACUAUGCCUGAUGUGUAUUUUGCAUCAUAA